rnacentral:rRNA from 1 species
UGGGGAAUAUUGGACAAUGGGGGAAACCCUGAUCCAGCAAUGCCGCGUGAGUGAAGAAGGCCUUAGGGUUGUAAAGCUCUUUCGCCCGCGAAGAUAAUGACGGUAGCGGGAGAAGAAGCCCCGGCUAACUCCGUGCCAGCAGCCGCGGUAAUACGGAGGGGGCUAGCGUUGUUCGGAAUUACUGGGCGUAAAGCGUACGUAGGCGGAUGCGCAAGUUGGGGGUGAAAUCCCGGGGCUUAACCUCGGAAUUGCCCUCAAAACUGCACGUCUUGAGACCGAGAGAGGUAAGGGGAAUUCCUAGUGUAGAGGUGAAAUUCGUAGAUAUUAGGAAGAACACCAGUGGCGAAGGCGCCUUACUGGCUCGGUACUGACGCUGAGGUACGAAAGCGUGGGAAGCAAACA